CGGCCUGGGCCUCCGGGCCUGGUCGCGGCGGCUGUUGCUAAGCUUUCCGGGGUCUUCAGAGAUGUGUCCCCGGCUGCUGCGGGCCGAGCGGCGGAGGUUGUGUCCCCCGCCCCACCCCCAACUCCAUCACCACUUCUCUGCGCUUCGGUCGUCGUGGGAAGCCCGGCUCUUUCUGGUCAGCUCGGAAAACGGAGGAGGAAUCAGGAGGCCAGGGCUGCAGUGGGGAAAGGGCAAUAACGUCUGGACAGUAUAAACUGUAGCUUGAUUAAUACAAGCUGCUGCCCCGCUUAACCUGUUUUUAAAACUGGCCUGCACCCUGAUUGUGAGAACUCUUGGAAAUUUCCACACCAAGUGUGGAGGUGCCGAGUGAAAUGAAAUGAGUAAAUGAAAGUCUCCGCGGUCAUUGUGUAUAACAUGCAAUCGACUCACUAGCUGGCCUUAAUAUUUAUACUGUUAGACAGAGUCACUUGCGGUCCACAGACGGUUCACACAGAACUUGCACCUUAAUAUGGCACAACAGUACUCAACCAGAGCAGCUAUAUCCAAAGUGCAUGGUUCUGGAGUCCAUCCCUGUGGGCCCAAAUAUCAAAACAUACACUGUUAUUAAGACUGCGUUGCCCUUUUCACAUUAACAUUUGUACUGAUGGUCUAAGAGCAAUAGUAGGCUGAGGGUGUAGUUAUGUUGGUAAAUGUUCACCUUGUGUACUUGAAAGCCCAGUGUUGAUUCUAUAAACCUGAAACUGCCAUAAACCUGUGAUGUCAGCACUGGGGAGGCGAAGGCAGGAUGAUCAGAAAUUCAAGGUCAUCCAUGACUACAAAGCAAGUUAAGGCUAGACUGGGUGGGCUACAUGAGAUUCUGCCAAUAAAUGCAUGGAUGGAUGGGUGGAUGGAUGGAUGUAAAAGGGCUGAUACCUGAUCAGGAAGCAAGGCAGUGUUUCUAAACUCUGAGGUCUGUAUUUUAUAUUCUGCACCUCUAUCCACUCACACGACAUUGAUUGUAAAUUUAAAGUAAGUUCCUUGUAAAGGAAUGCAACAUUGAUUUUUGUGAAAUACACCAACUACCGGCCUUGAAUUCGUAGAGAUACACCUGUCUCCCAAGUCCUUGGGAUUAAAGGUGUGUGCCACCGUGGACCUGGCCACAUAAUUUUUUUUUUUUAAUUAUCAAUAUAAAACAAAGAAGAGCAAGAACUUCUGUACAGGUAAAGCAUUUGUCUCCAGCAAAACACACUGUAUUAUUGUUGGAGAUUUCAAACGAAAUACAAGGUUUACUGGACUUGCAUAUUCCACCUUGAACUUGCAGUUUGCCGGUAUUUAAACUCACCAAAACUUGUUUUCUGACUCAGCACAUGUCAUGAAGAAUGCUCUUUGUGACUUGAAAAGAAUGUGUCUUCUGCAGUCAGAGUGUUAGGUCACUAUCCCAGUUCGCCCUUCCAAUGCUGUUGCAAACACCGUGACCUGAAGCAGCUUAGAGAGGAAUGGUUUACUUGACGUCUGGAUCACAGUCCAUCACUGAAGCAACUCAGAGCCGGAGGUCAAGCAGGAGCAGACAGGAACCAUGGGAACUCCGGCUUGUUCACAGGCUCAUGGUUCAGUUACCUCUCUUACACAUCCCAAGCCCACCUGCCCAGGGAUGGUACUGCCCGCAGUGGACUGAGCCCUCCCUUAUCAAUUCGCAAUAAAGAAAAUACCCACAAAUAUGCCCAUAGUUUCAAUCUGGUUGAAGUAAUUCCUUAAUUAAGGCUCCCUCUUCCCAGGUGUGUCAUAUUGAAAACCAAAAUUAGCCCUCCGGUCACUUAGGUCAAGCUGGUUGAUAAUAUUGCUCAAGACUUGUUUCCUUGUGGGGGAUGCUCUAUAGGACCCUAGACUAAAGACACUGCCCAUGCUGUUAAAGCAUGGUGGAAUGUAACCAUGUGCACUGGAGCUUCUGAAGAAACUGUACAUUACACAAGGAGUGCCCCCAUGCACGUGGAGACCAGAAGGGAAUAUUGGAUCCCCUAGAGUUGAAGUUACAGGUGGUUGGUGAGCAGCCUGCCAUGGAUGCCAGAAACCAAAUUCCAUUUCUCCGCAAGAGAAGGGUGUUUUGUUUGCAUGUAUGUCUAUGCACCAGAUGCAUGCCUGGUACCUUUGGAAGCCAGAAGAGAGUAUCAGAUCCCCUGGGACAGGAAUUACAGAUAGUUGGGAGCUGACAGAAAGUCUUCUUAGAGUUCUUCACGUGCAGAAGGUAUCUUCCUGGAAGGCCACCAAUGUUGAAAAGGCAGUGAACCAACAGUCAGACUAAAUGCCAGAAAGAGAAACCGCUUUGUUCCUGAAAUAAAUACAUGGCUGCUGUUGGCACAUAUGGAAGAGACAUUGAAGAGUUUCGACAGAUGAGGAAUUUCAUGAAGCUACCAUUCCAACAAACGUGCAAAGUAUCCCCGUCACCCAAAAGACUCUGUCACACACCCAUUGUAGCCAAACCCUACUCGCCUCUCCAGUCCUUGACAUCCUCUCCUCAGGUUCCCACCUCUCAGGUCCGUCUUCUCUAGAUGUCAUGGAAAUGAACCCAUGUAAUCCAGAGCAUGUUGAGAGUGCUUACAAUCUAGUAUAAUGCAUCUGAUGCUCACCUAUCUUGUAGUGUAUAGUGACUGUUCAUUUCUUAUGGCACUGUAGGUUUUAUUUUUGUUUGUUUUGUGUCAUUCUUGCUAUGACUGAACUGUCAGGUGUUCAUUGUUUUUAUUAAAAAAAAAAAGUCAGCCGUAUAUCAAACCACGACUCCUUUGAAGGUAUCUUUUUUUGUUUUUGUUUUUUUGUUUUUUCGAGACAGGGUUUCUCUUUGUAACAGUUCUGGCUGUCCUGAAACUCACUCUGUAGACAGACCAGGCUGGCCUCGAACUCACAGAGAUCUGCCUGCCUCUGCCUCCCAAGCGUUGGGAUUAAGGGCGAACCCAGGGCCUUGCGCCACUGAGCUAAAUCCCCAACCCCUGUGAAGGUAACUUUUAAAAAAGCAAGUUUUAGGAAUUUUAUCCUCAGCUUCAGUUUUUCCGGUUUCGCUGUGAUGAGUUUAUCUAUGAAUUUCUUUUUUCCUCCCUCAGAAUUGUUGAUUUCAUAAAUCUGGGUAUUGGAGUCACAUCUUAGUCUCCAAAGCCUCAGCCUUUGAGACAAGUACUUAGUCAAAUGCAGACUGAGGCACAUUUUCUCUCCAGCUCUAGGUUCCUGGAAGUUGUUGAUUGCUAUUUCCUGUGUUUGUGUGUGGGAGGGAUGGAGGGACAGAGGGAUGGAGGGGACAGAGGGAUGGGAGGAUCAUCAUUUUUGAUGUUUUGCAUAAACUUUCCUAGUGUUUGUAAUAGGCAGUUUUCAAUUUUCUCAUAGUCCCCAGUAUUUCUAAUAUUGGACCCCAAUUUCCCUCCUCCCUUACUGAGGGACUUCAGCUGUCACUGUGUCACAAAGGGAUGUCCCACACUCCACUCUAACGGCUCUUUUCAGAAAACAUUAGACAUUCUCAUUCUGCAGGAUUGGGAGCUGUGAUGGUUUUUUUCUAGAAGUUUUCACUUUUGGUUUUCCUUUUUACCUGCUCCUGAUUGUGUUUACUUUGUCAUUUAUACCAACACCUCACAAUCUGUGCUCUCAACCCAGACCUGUACCCCAAGCCAGAUUUGAACACCUAGUCACCCCCUGGUCACCUCCUCUAGAUAUCCCACAUUGUUAACACUCAAAACACACUGAAAGAGAUCUCUUAUCAUUUCCUGGUCCCCAGGUGAAGUCUGCUGCCCUUUGCCCUUGCCAGUUCCCUAGCUGUAUCUAUAUUCCUUCACCCUCAUCUUCAGAGCACGCUACACUCCAGCCUCGGCAGGCUGCUAGCUGCUCCAGUGCGCCAUGUGUCCAGCAGUGUGUGUACUACGUAGGUGUGGUGGGAAAUAUUGUCAACUUGACAGGAUCUGUUGGACAAGGUCCAUUAGACAGGCCUUUGCUCACACCUGGGAGGGGCAGUCUAGACUAAAUCCCUAGGAGGGACUUUUGGGUUACACUUGCUGAAGGAGAGACUCCCGCCGACUGUGGGCGGCACAUUCCAGCAGCCCAGAUCUCAGGAGGAUCAGCAGAACAGGCUUGUUUUUCCCUUCUUCAUCUUGCUGUCCAGCCCACCUACUCUGUUGCCCCCACAAUCUGCUGCCGCCCCCACUGCCAGUACCAUCCUUUAAUGAUAUUAGAAGACAGUGCCUUCCACCUUCGAAGUGCACUGAGGACCAGGGACUCCCCAGACAUCCUCUAGACCUUCAGUGCCAGACUGGGCCUGCUGAGGCAUCCCUGGUGAUGAGCAGCUCCCAGGUACUCAAUGUGAAGACAGUCACUGUUCGACCACCAAGACUGUACCCUGGGAGCCAAUCUAAUAAAUGCCCCGUUAGUGUGUCCAUCCACGCUAUCGGUUUUGUUCCCCUAGAGAACCCCGACUAACACAGUGUGAGAACUGAGGCCAUCCACAGCUCAUUGUUCCCAACUCAUUCCUGUGAGUCAGUCAGUACCCGGGACUGCUAACCGGACACAAAGAAGUCCGAUAUUCCUCUUCUGAAGUGGCGGCUGCCUGGGGCUGAUGAAUCUUCACUGGUGGUAAGAAUAUGGCUUUCAGGACUGAGUCAUGGUGCUUCUUAGACGCUGGCUUGGUUCCUCAGGCCCCAAUCUCGUCUACCACAGCGAUAACUGGAGGAUGAUGUUCACCUUGGGCUGCUCUCCUACCACGAGGUUCCCGGCUUCUGCUCAGGAACUCUCUCCCCAAAAGCUGGCACAUGAGAAAUAAUGCACCUCUCAUAUUGUCUCCUAUGACGACUAUGCAUGAAACUGGGGAGGUUAUUACUAUGUUCAAUGUUUUAUUCUAGGGAGACAAGUUUAGAAAAUAAAAAAUUUUGUCUGAUUGA